CCGCUGUGCUCUGAUGGUGCUUGUGAUCAUUAUAGCAUUUCCCUGGAACUAGCUAUGCCCCGAACGCUUAAACUGCACACAAUUCUAUCAGUUGGACAGUGCAGACAGAGAGAAAACAGAAUUAGCUCUUCCUAGCAUCACAAGCCCGAGCAACAUUGAACUAACACCUGCCGAUGUUCCUGGGAUGUGAAUUCAGGGAAGGAAGAAUGAGGUGAAGCAGCAAAUAGCCUAACAACAUUCCAGAAGAGAAAGGCAUGACUAGUUGCAGCACGAUGGGCUAACAAUCACUCACUUCUCGAUAUUCCUGCUCAUCAUUUUCCAGUCGCGUUAUGCUAUUCAACAGAGGAAGACUGAGAAUACUGCUCAUUUAAACAGCUAUGCAAUGGAACAUUCUGGGCAAAGAUAAGUCCCCAAGGUAUAGCAGUAGCAGAGAUAAUGAUUGGAGGGAAAAAACUCACCUAUGCAAUCAAAAAUCAUCAAAAGAGCCACUUCACAGUGUGUAGAGAGUGCCCGAGAAAGGAUAUCUCUAUUAGUAUUACAGGUUUGAAAGAAAAGGCCAAAUGAUGAUGAUUUUAUUGCCGUUGUUAACUUCUUUCUUUAUGGUGUGUAGGCAUAGUUAGGAUCGAGACCCACUUCAAUUCGGCCCAAAAUAUCGGCGGUAAAAAGGAUUCUUACGGCCCAAUAAAUUUUUUCAUUGACGUUUCUUU